rnacentral:misc_RNA from 1 species
GAUGAAGAACGCAGCGAAAUGCGAUAAGUAAUGCGAAUUGCAGAAUUUCCGUGAGUCAUCGAAUCUUUGAACGCACAUUGCGCCCAUUGGUAUUCCGAUGGGCAUGCCUGUUCGAGCGUCAUUAUCUUCCCUCAAACCUCGCGUUUGGUGUUGGGCCGUGCUGGUUCCUGCGUGACCAACUGGCCUCAAAGACAAUGACGGCGUCCGUGGGACCCUCGAUGCAACGAGCUUCUCAGGAGCACGCGUCGAGUUUCAAGGACCUUCCGGGCCGGUCUCUCCUCAAGUUAUUACAAGGUUGACCUCGGAUCAGGUAGGGAUACCCGCUGAACUUAAGCAUAUCAAUAAGCGGAGGA